AUCUUUCCAGCAGCUGGUGGAGCAUGAGACUCUUAAUCUCAGGGUCAUGGGUUUGAGCCCCAUGUUGGGCA